rnacentral:rRNA from 1 species
UACGGAGGGGGCAAGCGUUGUUCGGAAUUACUGGGCGUAAAGGGCGCGUAGGCGGCCCGCUAAGUCGAACGUGAAAUCCCCGGGCUCAACCCGGGAACUGCGUCCGAUACUGGUGGGCUCGAAUCCGGGAGAGGGAUGCGGAAUUCCAGGUGUAGCGGUGAAAUGCGUAGAUAUCUGGAGGAACACCGGUGGCGAAGGCGGCAUCCUGGACCGGUAUUGACGCUGAGGCGCGAAAGCCAGGGGAGCAAACGGG